rnacentral:rRNA from 1 species
UACGAAGGGGGCUAGCGUUGCUCGGAAUCACUGGGCGUAAAGGGUGCGUAGGCGGGUCUUUAAGUCAGGGGUGAAAUCCUGGAGCUCAACUCCAGAACUGCCUUUGAUACUGAGGAUCUUGAGUUCGGGAGAGGUGAGUGGAACUGCGAGUGUAGAGGUGAAAUUCGAUAGAUAUUCGCAAGAACACCAGUGGCGAAGGCGGCUCACUGGCCCGAUACUGACGCUGAGGCACGAAGCGUGGGAGCAAACAGG